rnacentral:rRNA from 1 species
AUGGCGGAACGGGCCAAUCUGGUCUUUCAUAAUAAAGAGAUAGACGGAACUAGUAUGAAACGACUUAUUAGCAGAUUAAUAGAUCAUUUUGGGAUGGGAUAUACAUCCCAUAUACUGGAUCAACUAAAAACUCUGGGCUUCCAUCAAGCCACUACUACAUCGAUUUCGUUAGGAAUCGAGGAUCUUUUAACAAUACCCUCUAAGGGAUGGUUAGUCCAAGACGCGAAACAACAGAGUUUUCUUUUGGAGAAACACUAUUAUUAUGGGGCUGUACACGCGGUAGAAAAAUUACGCCAAUCUGUUGAGAUAUGGUAUGCGACAAGUAUGAGAGGAUUAAUGUCGGACCCUCAAGGACAAAUGAUUGAUUUACCUAUUCAAAGCAAUUUACGCGAGGGACUUUCUUUGACAGAAUAUAUAAUUUCCUGCUAUGGAGCCCGCAAAGGGGUUGUAGAUACUGCUGUGCGAACAGCAGAUGCUAGAUAUCUUACACGUAGACUUGUUGAAGUAGUUCAACAUAUUAUUGUGCGUAGAAGAGAUUGUGGUACUAUCUGA